rnacentral:rRNA from 1 species
AGCAGGCGCGCAAAUUACCCAAUCCCGACACGGGGAGGUAGUGACAAUAAAUAACAAUACGGGGUUCUUUCGGAUCUCGUAAUUGGAAUGAGUACAAUUUAAAUCUCUUAACGAGGAACAAUUGGAGGGCAAGUCUGGUGCCAGCAGCCGCGGUAAUUCCAGCUCCAAUAGCGUAUAUUAAAGUUGUUGCAGUUAAAAAGCUCGUAGUUGAAUUUCGGGAUNAGNAUGUCGGUCGUGCCCCGGUACGCACUGGCAUUAUUGGUUCCUACCUUCUGAAGAACCGCGAUGUCAUUAAUUUGGUGUCGUGGGGAAUCAGGACUGUUACUUUGAAAAAAUUAGAGUGUUUAAAGCAGGCGCACGCUUGAAUACAUUAGCAUGGAAUAAUGAAAUAGGACGUUUGAUUCUAUUUUGUUGGUUUCUAGGAUCGACGUAAUGAUUAAUAGGGAUAGUUGGGGGCAUUAGUAUUCAAUUGUCAGAGGUGAAAUUCUUGGAUUUAUUGAAGACUAACUACUGCGAAAGCAUUUGCCAAGGAUGUUUUCAUUAAUCAAGAACGAAAGUUAGGGGAUCGAAGACGAUCAGAUACCGUCGUAGUCUUAACCAUAAACUAUGCCGACUAGGGAUCGGAUGAUGUUGAUUUUAUAAUGACUCAUUCGGCGCCUUACGGGAAACCAAAGUGUUUGGGUUCA